rnacentral:sRNA from 1 species
GGGUGGGAAGGUGGGGGCAGGGCCUCAAGACUUCUAACACCACUUCUCCCCACCCCACCUGGUUCUGGCUUAGAUUAGUCAAUAAACAAAGGGAAGCCAGGACAUUUUAACAAAGGUAUAUCCCAUGCAAGGUUUGAAUACACUUAAACUGAAACUUUCUGUUUGUCUGACAUUCAGUGCUCUGUAUUUUAUUUGACAACCAUUCCUAGACUGCUCCUUCCUUCUGCCCUGGAGUAGGGUCCAAGAGGGAUGGGGUUGGGGGGAAUCCCUUAGAAUAACUCCCUAACUAAAAGGCACAGCUACAAAUUCUGUCCUAACCAUCAAUGAAUAAGGGCAAAGAGCCACGUUUGGUAACACAUGCUUGUAACUCCAGCAUUUGGAAUGCUAGAAGCAGGAUCACAGGGUGAGGGCUAGUCUGUAUAAGGAGUUCUAGGCUAGCCUUGGCUAUAUAGCUAGACUCUGUCUCAAAACAAUAACCAAACAACCUCAUAGAACAAUAGCCCCAUAUCUCUGUAAUGAACAAACAGCUUGUGGUAACUGACAGCUUUGGCGAAACUCUGGUAAGUUCAGCAAUCAAUAAUUGUUGCUAUGACUAAGGAAGGUAUCUGUGACCAUAUUGGUACCUCAUUGUAGGGGGUGGGGCAGAAUUGUCACCAAUCCUGAGGUCCUCUCCCUUAGGGCCUCCUGAUGUCCUGUAAGUCCUUUGCCUGCCUUAUGACUUCUCUAAGCAGCUGUCAUAGCCAUCAGAUCUUCAGGAGAGAAGAGAGUGAAGAUAGUUACAGGAGUUAGGGUAGGGAGAAAGGCACUCUCCUCUGCCCAGGCAGGCACCUCCUUCUACCAUGCUCCAGACUCCCCUGCUUGCUGCCAGCAUCACAGCUGAGGAGGAGUGUCUCUUGCUGUCGAUACAGCAGCUAAGGAGUACGUACCCUCUUCAGAAAUCACACUGUCAACAGAUGAGUUUCAAGCCAAGAGCACACAGCCCUGGAGGUUGCAGGUAGGAUCUCCUUUAAAUGACUUGGGAUGAGCCCAGAUGUGUCAUGGUGGACAAACAUGAUGGACAUGGAGGCACUGGAGGUGACUCCUGACCAUCCAGGCAGAACUGAAGGACCUAGACCUGAGGUGGGAAGGACUGAGGAGUCUCUUUACUGUCUCCACAUAUUCAAAAUGGGGUAGAUUGGCUUAGAGGCCCAGGGACAGACACAAAGCUGGUGGGUGGAAGAAGCUGGGAACAUCUGUACAGAGGCGGGGGGGGGGGGGGAUCUAGUCUCAGUUCUUCUGUGUGGCUUGUUAUAAGUCACUUGCCCUCUCUGAACCUUAGUACCCUGUGAGAUUAUAUCUGAAGAACUUUCUAAUGCAGAGUGGAGGUGAGAAGUCCUUUUGUUGAAGCCCAUGAAGAGCAAGCAGAAGUCAAAGAUCAGGCCUCACUCUUCUGUGUCUUCUCCUUGGCCCUCUGUCUUGUUUCAUAAAGACGUGUGUGCAGAGAAGGAAAUACAUCUAUUCAAAGAUGGUCCCCCAGUCCCUGCCUCCAGGUUGUCUCCACAGUGUUGGUCCUUCUUGCUCAUUUUGUCACAAGCCUCCCUCCAGAUCACUUUUCCUAGAGCAGGCCACGUGGCUGUCAAGACCCUAACCGUUGCCUCCAACAGAUGAGCACAAUUUACUGGCUGCCAUUGUCACACAUUCCGUCAGUCUGAGCCUCACUCUCCCCAAGAUGUACCGGAAUCUUUCCCCAGAGUCCUUCUCCUGGCUCUGCAGCCAAGUCUCUCACUUGAAUCCCAACCUAUAUGUCAUUCCCAAAAUCAUGGCUCCCUUUGUACCGUCUUCCAACUCCUCCCUGUGCUCCUCCAUUUCAGGACGGUUCUCCCUGCAUCCUCUCUCACAGUACCCUGGUGAUCUGCUUCGUGGAAAAACACCAUCUGUAAUCUCAGCGUAAACUUGUCAACAUCUGUGGUUUUUGUCGCCGCCUCUGAAACGCAAGCUCCAGGGCUUUUGCUUUGCUCCAUACCGCAUUCCCAGUGCCUUGACCGGACAGCAGACACACAUGUUCGUCGAGUGAAUGAGUGAUAGUUGAUGCCUGGAGAGUCUCUAUUGCAUUGCUCAGUCUGUACAGACGCCAUCUCCCUCCCUCCUUUGAGGGACCACCUUCCCUCUUCCGUCUGUGUGGCUCCUUAGGUCUGUAUUCUUUCCGGGCACAGGGCCAGACCAAGAAUCACACCGCCUAUCAGAGCAUUCCCUCUCCCCCCAACUCCCUCUCUUUCUCUCUCUCUCUGGGAAUGCACAUGUUGCCGGGCUGGUUCUGGGAGCCCCCAACCUGAGAGGCUCGCUGCCAAGGUGAUGGGAUAUGGUCCUGUUGUUGCCAGUAGGGUAGUCCCUGGAAGACAGUCACUGAUAGGGAAGCCAGGUAAGAGAUGGAUGGGGGCAAGUUCCAGACAACAGCCUUCAAACAUCUGGAUCCAGAUGUGCCCGUCUUUCACUUCCUCAUCACAACCUUCUGCAAUUCCAAAAGUGGUCCAGGUCAUAAAUCUCAAAAUAACCUGGGCAAGAGUGCACACUAAUGGUGGAACACCAGUCCUGGGGCUCCAGGGCUUGCAGUUAUUCACCCUGCCACACUGCUUGUACAAAGCUUCAACUUUGUGUUGUGUCCGGAGAGGGAAAGGACGUGGGGUGCCUAGGAAAGUUCUCCACUUCUCAACUCAUUUGUAUAACCUGAGGAAGCAGGAGACCAUGCUCUAGACACAGCUACUACCGGGGUGUUGUGUCUGUAUCCUUUGGGUUCUCUUCGUGUUGGUGGGAUGCAGAUCAGCUGUUCAAAGGAACAACUCUUCAUCAUCAAAGAUUUCAAAUAUAAGUGGAGGUAGCAACAAGGAUUCAAACGUUCCAUUGCAUGCUCAUAAAUCAGCCCCAAUAAAUUCCUGGCCACCCCUGCUCCAUCUCUUUAUCCACCCACUCCUUCCUGCCUGCCUUCCCUCCCCUGAUUGCUUUCAAGCGUGUCAUUUUAUAUGGAAAUAUGUUAAUAUGCAUUUCUAGAUGAUAAGACUCCUUUAAAGAUAUAUCUGGUCUGCUGCUGGCAUCUCACUGGAGCAGGUCGUUCCAGUAAUGACUUCCAAGGAGCCUGACUCUUGGUCUAACACCCUUGAGAACUUCCCUCUGGCACUCCUUUGAGCUUGAUUGACAAGGAUCUGGAACUGCCUGAGAUCUGCUAAACUGGGCCCUGUGAGCAGUGACUCUUCAGGAUGUCCCAGCAUGGCUCCAUUUUGACCAGUACUCCAUUGCUACAAAGAAUUCUGCUAAACAGCGCUAGGUGGAAGAUUGAAAAGUCAUCCCUGAGACACUUUGAAUCCCUACCCCAUAGACCUUGAAGGUGUGGGGCCAGAGGGAAGAGGAGGCCUGAGAGGAACGACCUCACCAGGCUGCAGUUUUGAUUUGAUGAUGUCAUUUUAACUUCUAAAUGGCCACUGACAUUUCCUCUCUCACCCCACUUUUUUGUUUUCAUUUAAAAAAAUUCUUUUUCUACGCUUA